AGAGGACUGCUAAUUCCUAUGUAGGUGACAUUACAUUACUGCUAAUUCCUAUGUAGGUGACAUUACACUACUAUAGCUGAGACACAUAGUAAAACAGGUUGGGCCCCAUACAGGAUAUCUCUCACACACACACUCACUGUAAUCAUCCAGAACACUGUCACAACAGGAUACUCCUAGCCACAGGUGCUAGCCGGCAGUUCGGCCACAACUCCCCUGAAGAUAGGGACGCACACACUUUACACACUGACCCCAGAAGACAGGGACGACGCACAUACAGUACACACAUAGCUGCCGAGGACACCCAGAUAAGACACCCACAGAUUGGCAGAAAGCCUAGACUUAGUGACUGAAGAUAGCACACACACCAGAUCUCCUUUUCAGCUGAACAUGGUGUGACGACCAAGAACAGGCAUGGCAGGAUUCUACGAUGACGGACAGACAACAGAGCCAAUGCCGGAUGACUACACCCCAGCCUGAUCCAAUCCGAAGAUCCGAUCUCCUAGAUAUCAACCUACUUUCUGUUCUGUAUAUGAAGCUUGUACCCAUUGUUAACUAGUGCCUUUUUGCUAGUCUCUGAUGAGCUAACAGAGGGGCCCGUAUAUACGCUGUACCAGAUAUCUCCACUCUGAAAUAAACCUGUCGCUUCUCGUACAAUCUACCACCUUGUCUGCAUCGAUCCUUGACCGACUCACCCUUUAUCAUAUCCCAUUAUUAACAGAAAUGGUAGCAGAGGAUGGUUUAAUAACGAUCCAUCAAAGUGAGUUGAUUUGGGUGUGAGAGGGAGAGAGGGUGAAAGGACGAUUCACGGAGGACAGAGGUGAAGGAAUUCGGGGGAGGACAACAAUUCUGCUCAACUCGGUAAACUGAUCACAAGGCGCACCACAAACAAGGAUUUUAUGCAUUACAGGUGAACUACAGGUGAAGUCACUCAAUCCAGUCCCAGAGGCUUGGGGACCAUAGAUGACCCCUGGUGACAGCUAGCUGAAAGAGCUACCCAGAUUCAUAUCGCACGGCGGAAGGGUAAGACACUCUUUCACUGUCGGACAUUAAAACAGUGUUCGAGAGAAGAACUGGAAUUAACAGAAUUCCGGGGGCCAACUCUCGAAUGAAGUAACCCUACCUGUCCUAUCACCCCUGUUUUUGUUCAUAGAAGUGAGGAUGUGUCUGGCUCUGGCUAAGUGAUGUGUAUUUUGUUCCAAAAUAAGCAUAAGAGAUCCCUAGAUCUGGGUAUUUGUAAGUCGCUCUGGAUAAGAGCGUCUGCUAAAUGACUUAAAUGUAAAUGUAAAUAUAGACAAGAAGUUAGAGUAGAGAUUACAUGAUAACCGACUUCGGACAGUUCUAGGAUUGGAGAAGAGGGUAUCCUUAUAGCAUGGGGGAUCCCACAAGGGUGGAUAGGUUUUCCAUGAUAUGGGGAAACCUGGGAGCAAUGUUGAACUUUGUAAAGGUGAUGAAAUCCUACUAACCAUCAAAACUAUUAAGCUCUCUGAUGCAGGCACUCACACCCUCGGACUACAAAGGACGAGGACAGACAUGAUGGGUGUGUUUUCUAUUAAGGUACUGCCAAGACCAGAGGUAACCGGACACACUCCUCUACCACCACUGUGUUAAAAAUACCAUUCAGGUAAUUAAUGUUAGAGACUAUUCGGCUAUUGAUCAAUUAGGAACUGAGACUGGUUUUGAUAGUAGGGACAAUUUGUGGCUGUCUUAUAUGAGGUACACAGCUAAAACCCUGAGAGGAAAGGACUGCAUUAUUUGUAGUCAUGCUAGACCUGUUCUGGCUACACACCCAUUUGCUGUAGGAGAAGGAGAGGGGUGGUUGUGUGUUCUGAGAAGUUUUUACCAGGUUAAGCCCAAUUCAACCCUCUGUUCCUCUUUGAGCCUUGUGUUUCCUGCAGUACCUCCUCAUCGGGCCUCUUGGGGUGUUGAGGCAUAUGGGGGCAAUUAAGAGUGCAUCACGGGUACAGGUAAUGGCAUUGAUUAUGGGGGAUUGCCUGAAGCUGAUUGCAGUAGUAACAUAACCAUUAAUUCCACUUGGCCAGUUACAGGCUGAUGUGAGGUGGAUGAGUGGAGCCAAGAGUGCUGAGACCCAUUCUUAGAGGAGAAUGGCAAGGUACGUGUGCUCUGACCAGUUUGAUAAUUCCACUGACCAUUGUUGAUGUUACUGCUGAACAGCUGUUGGGUUCUGUAUCCAAGGGACCUGAAAACAUUCCAUCCCAUGGGAGACAUAGAUGUAGUACUCCAUGGACAGAGAAUGUAGUUGACAUAAACACUAACCUGUUGGGUGUGCCAGUGGGGGUUCCUCAUGAGUUUCAGGCCUUGGGUAGGAAUGAUGGACUCUGGCACUUACUACCUACUAUGGGUCCAGCCAUGGUGGAUGCUAGACAGACUGCAUGGAUUAAUUAUAUCUACUAUAAUCAACAGCGUUUUGUGAAUUACUCCCGUGAUGCACUCACUGGUAUGUCUGAACAGCUUGAGGCCACAUUUGGGGUUUCCAGACAGAAUAGACUUGCCUUGGAUAUGCUUCUUGCCAGUCAGGGGGACGUUUGCAAGAUGUUCGGUAAACAAUGUUGCACGUAUAUUCCUAAUAAUACCAGUCCAGAUGAUAUCUAGGGCGGGCUUGAUGCACUAUCUGAUAAGAUGAGGUCCACAGGGGGGGUGGAGGAGUCUGUUCUCUUGGCCUGGUUUGGUAAGUACACUGAUAUGAUGGUUACUGGAUUUCUGACCCUAAUUCUUGUAUUAUUUGUUAUUGAUGUGAUGUGCUGCUUGCAUCAUACCGUGUUCUAAGAAAUAUGUUACAGAUAUGGUGAAGGCUUCAGGCAUGUUGCCUUUGCUUGAUGCUCCAGUUGGAGAUGCCGAUACGGAAGCAUGCUUUCAGGAGAGGAUGGGACUGACUGAGGAUGACCCAUGGUAUGCUGUGGGUGAGGUAGUAGAAUAAUUUUACACCACCACAGUUCCUUGUUAUAAAUUUUUAUGAUAGGUUUUCUUUCCAGUAUGUUUGUUCUCCCUGUUGUAAAGGUUUAGAGUCCCUGGGUGGCAAGGAGCCCACCUGGUACAGGAUAGGAGUAGCUGAGAGGACCAGAUGGUUUCUAAUAAUUCUUUCCUCUGUUUUCCAUGACCAAAGUUUUAUCCUACAUCUUACAUGUCAAUAACAAUAAAGUUUUAUCCUGUUUUUGAUAAGUGACACCCUUGUGGGUGUCAAAAGGGGGAAACGCAUAUAACAAUAGACAUAUAUCACUUGUUAUUAAUAAUAAACUUUUUAUUAUUUUCAUGAAAUGCUAUGACUGCUGAAAUAAAGGAUAAUGAGUGUCAAAAGGGGACUUAAAUUUCACACCCUUGGGGUUAUUUUACAUUAUAGCCAUUACCAUAUAUAUGAUUGAAUAUUAUCUGCUGUUGCCUUGGGUGGAUGUGUGUAUGUGUUAUGUUCUCUAGCUGAUUUGAAACAUUGUUAAAAGUAUCAGGGCCAUGGAACUUUCUCAUGCUGGGAAAAUACAGAAGGGAGGGCACAUUCAGAGCGUGGGGUUGUGAGAACAAGCGGUCUUUUGUUAGAUAACAGGAGCCAGGUGCGAGAUAACGGUAUGGAGCAUGAGACCCAUCUUUUAGUUUUUGCAGCCAUUUUAGUGUUGUGCGGCUGCGGUUGCAUUCCAUGUAUCCGGUCCCUUACUGCUAGAGUUAUCUCCAGAGCUAUUGACCCUUCUUCCCCUUCCCAGAUGUAUCCUCUGCUUGCUAAUGACCUGCCAGAGUUUGAGGAUGAGGUGGAGAAUACCCUUUAGAGAGUGUCACAUCUCUUUGGAGAUGUGAAGAGAGGGUAUCACAACUUUUUCCGGCUGGAAAAGGUUGGCUUAUGUGGACAAACAUUUUACUUAUAGCUUAGAGCUGUUGUUCUCCGCAAUUGUUAAAUGAGGGUUGUAAGUUCCUAGGUGGCUGGUAGCCAACUUAGUACAUAGUGGGAUUGAGUGGAGAACUUGGUGGUAAUACAUAUACAUCCAUUUCUUUUAAUGUUGUGCCUUUUUCAUAGCCCCUUUGGGAAAAGUUUUCUUUUGUAUCAGAAUCUAGUUAGGUUGUGUCACGUCUCUGGGGAGACGUGAAGAGAGGGAUUUGUAGAGGACUGCUAAUUCCUAUGUAGGUGACAUUACAUUACUGCUAAUUCCUAUGUAGGUGACAUUACACUACUAUAGCUGAGACACAUAGUAAAACAGGUUGGGCCCCAUACAGGAUAUCUCUCACACACACACUCACUGUAAUCAUCCAGAACACUGUCACAACAGGAUACUCCUAGCCACAGGUGCUAGCCGGCAGUUCGGCCACAACUCCCCUGAAGAUAGGGACGCACACACUUUACACACUGACCCCAGAAGACAGGGACGACGCACAUACAGUACACACAUAGCUGCCGAGGACACCCAGAUAAGACACCCACAGAUUGGCAGAAAGCCUAGACUUAGUGACUGAAGAUAGCGCACACACCAGAUCUCCUUUUCAGCUGAACAUGGUGUGACGACCAAGAACAGGCAUGGCAGGAUUCUACGAUGACGGACAGACAACAGAGCCAAUGCCGGAUGACUACACCCCAGCCUGAUCCAAUCCGAAGAUCCGAUCUCCUAGAUAUCAACCUACUUUCUGUUCUGUAUAUGAAGCUUGUACCCAUUGUUAACUAGUGCCUUUUUGCUAGUCUCUGAUGAGCUAACAGAGGGGCCCGUAUAUACGCUGUACCAGAUAUCUCCACUCUGAAAUAAACCUGUCGCUUGUCGUACAAUCUA